rnacentral:rRNA from 1 species
AUUGAACGCUGGCGGCAAGCCUAACACAUGCAAGUCGAACGAGUAGCGGACGGGUGAGUAAUGUCUGGGAAACUGCCUGAUGGAGGGGGAUAAAUACUGGAAAAGGUAGCUAAUCCCGCAUACCAUCGGAUGUGCCCAGAUGGGAUUAGCUAGUAGGUGGGGUAAAGGCUCACCUAGGAGACGAUCCCUAGCUGGUCUGAGAGGAUGACCAGCCACACGUGAACUGAGACACGGUCCAGACUCCUACGGGAGGCAGCAGUGGGGAAUAUUGCACAAUGGGCGCAAGCCUGAUGCAGCCAUGCCGCGUGUAUGAAGAAGGCCUUCGGGUUGUAAAGUACUUUCAGCGGGGAGGCGUUACCCGCAGAAGAAGCACCGGCUAACUCCGUGCCAGCCGCCGCGGUAAUUC